AGGCCACUGCCGAGGAAGGGGCAGUCAGGGGGUUGGGGCCGAGGCUCCUCCCCCUUUCCCGAAGCCCUAAUGCCAUGCUCAGGGCCAAGAGCCCCAGCAAGAGGGGCCCUCUGGCCGAAAGCACAACUUUGAUCCCUGAGCAGAGCACCUUGAGCCAUGGAUUCCAAAGCAGCCCUGAUUUCACAGGUGAGGAAACUGGGGAACAGAGAAGGGACAUAAUGUGUUCAGUGGAACCCAGCUAGAAAGAAGGGGAGGCCAGGAUCAGAACCAGGUGUGUGGUCUUGGGCUAGUUAAGAAUAUUGUUCCCGAAUCCGAACAACCUGCGAGUGUCUAACUAACCUCAUGUGACAUCAGGGAAGCGUGUGUGUAUGCUUGUGGGGUGAGGAGGGGAUAAGGCACUGAGGCAGGGGAUAAAUUUAUUUAUUUUUCUUGAUAAUACCAGAAUCGGGACCGAGCGGUUUCUGUACUUACCGUGGCCUUUGAAGAGCACUCUGAUAUUCAAGGAGACAACUACCACUGAGGCUACUUUUGAUCCAGGUCUGGAAGCAGGAGGCGGUGUAGAGGUAGACCUGUCUCACAGACCCUGAGGCUUUAACUGGGGGAAAUCCCCAGUCACUGUAUAUUACCUAAUAUAAAGUGUCCCCCGGGACAUGAAGUAUAUAAGGCAAGCCCCCAUUUUUCCCAAAAAGAAGAUAGAUACAUUAAAAUAAGUGAGUGUGGGGUUUUUUUUUGCCAAUUUGAAAAAAAAAAAAAAAACUUUUAAGGAUGUAAAUGAAAGUGUUAACUACCUACUUAUAAUAUUUAAUUUAAUAAUAGAGAUCAAUAAUGUAUUGAUUUGGAGAGGUGACUUUUUUCUCAUCUCGCACAAACUCAGGGACAAAAAAUUUCACCGUCAGCACCUCCCUGUCACCAGGGUUUUCCUCAGGCAGCGACUCCGCUCUCCAAGACUUACCACUUCUGUGUGCAUCUUUGAGGUCUGGUGGUACCUGAGUAGGAGGCUGUCCCCUGGAAUUUGUAUCUCAACCAGGAGUUCCUAUUAGCAUAGCAUUUGGGCGGCUUUAAAAAAAUAUGUAGGAUUUCCCCCACCUGAUAACUUGCUGUGUUGCUCUGUAAAGGUUGAUCCUUAAAGGUUGUUUAUGGUGGUUCUCACUGCUUAUAACAGUGAGGUCGUAGCCCCAAGAAAAAUAAGACAUGCGCAUUCAAUUUAUUGGCCUCCUUGUUUUUGUUUUUGUUCAAGUGACCUCUAUAAGCAAUCGACCAUCGAAUGAAGUUGUUUCAGGGUAAUAUGCUUUCCUCAAAUAGUAUUUUACUUAAAAACAUCAUAUAAUUGAAUAUGAGAGUGGGGGAAGACAAGGUUGUAGAUGAGGGGUUGGUGGUUGUGUGGAUGGGAAAAGAAGCGUAUGGAAAUACAUUAAACAAGUCAACAUUGUGUGUGUUAAAAACUCUCUGUAAAAAAAAAAAAAAAAAGUUGAGAGCCUGUCCUAUAGUGUAAGAUACUUUAUAAGGCUUUGAACACAGGGCAAAUCCUUUUUGUGAGGAAUAAUUUUUGGAGAAAAAUACCUUCUAUUUGGGCAUAUAACAUACACACGCGUCUCCACCCUUCUUGUUGCUAUCAGCUUCUAGCCUCCAGAAAAACGUCUCAAAUAUUCAUUGAUGUUCUAGAUUCUGAGUUCCUUGAGGGCAACACUUUAAUUUUUACUAUCCUCAGAACAUGGUAUGGGGCCCAGCCUGAAGUGAGUCCUCAUUAAACAUUUGUUGAAUGAAUGAAUGGAUGAGUAAGUGAAUGCAGGCACGCAUGCACGGGUCAAUGAUGGUCAGUGACUUGUCCACGAUUAGACAGCAGUUAAGUUGCAGAGCGAUGACUGGCCUCAGGUCCUCUCACCCCUGCUCCAUUUCUUAUCCCCAUCCCUCCAGGGCUGUGUUACUCCCCGUCAUGCCUGGGCCCUUUCUAUCGCCACUCCCUGGCUUCUGACCAGCUUGCACACACAGGCAGAGUCGAGCUGUGUUGGCCACUGCUGCGGCCACUCACCACUGUGUAUGUUAUGUGUUCUGAGUGCAAAACGCACACCGAUUUCAAACACUUAGUACACACAAAAAAGAAUGUAAAGUAUCCCGUUAACAAUUUAUGUAUUGAUUACAUGUAGAAAUACGAUUUUUAGGCAUAUUAGGUUAAAUGAAAUGUUUUAAAAUUAAUUUCACUUCUUUACACCUUUCUAGAAAUAUGCCUACUAGAAAAGCUAUAUUUAUAUCUGUGGCUUACAUUAUAUUUCUUUUGGACAGCCCUGAUAAGGAGGAUUAAGAUUUGUCUAGGAGUUUGGAGAACACUGGCCAGGGGACAAGCUAGGGGCAUCUGCCUGCUACCUAAGGACAACAAGACACCCCGACCAUGGAAAGCUUCCCUACCACGUCCUGUUCUCACUCAGACAUUGAAGUUGAUCAGAGGAGAAUAGAGGUCUGAUCAAGGACCCCGGUUUCCAUCUUGUGACAGCCUGUGUGGUGGGUACUGUCAUCUCCAUUUUAUGGAUGGGGGAAUUGAGGCUUGCAAAGGUGAAAUCACUUGCCCAAGGUCACGCAGUUAGUCCACGGCAGAGCCCAAACUGAAACCCUAGUCAUUUUUAGUCUAAUUCUAGUAUCUUUCCAUUUUUCCCAACGCCUGCUCUUUUUAAAAGCACUGGCUUUUUUUUUUUUUUUUUUGAGCAAAGGCCAGAAGGCUAUGGAAGGAACUCUUGAACAAUGACUUCUAGAUGAUUGUAAGAAUGAUGAUGAAUCUGAUGGAUGUGUAUGAUGACUUAAAAAUAAUUACCUAUCACUAGAGCCCAAAGCUUAUUAGUAAGUCCACCAACCCAGUCACUCAGAGCCAUGCUUCUCCCUGCUCUUCGAUGACAAUUCUGUUUGCCAUGGAAGGUGAGAGAUAAUGGAAACUCUGGCAGCAGAUAAAACAUUACUAUUUUCGGCAGCUUAAGGAUGAAGUGCCUUCAUGCUUUAACAGAUGGAGCCCGAUCCUUGAAGUUCCAUUUGAAACAGUUCGGGGCAGUGUGACACCUUGUGGCCACUGGGCUAAAUCAUGGGGGUGGUGUGGGGGAACGUGGGGAGGGAGUCUGCCAAAUGUUUAGCAAAACUAGCCUUUAAGCCAGACCUACUGGAGGGAGGCAAGGAAGGUAAGCGGGUCAAAAGAGACUGUUCUCCUAGAACUGGACUAGCCA